rnacentral:rRNA from 1 species
GAUGAACGCUAGCGGCAGGCCUAAUACAUGCAAGUCGAACGGUGUCUUCGGACAUAGUGGCGCACGGGUGCGUAACACGUAUGCAACCUACCUUACAUUGGGGGAUAGCCUUUCGAAAGGGAGAUUAAUACCGCAUAAGACAGUAGCUGGGCAUCCAGCAGCUGUUAAAGAUUUAUCGAUGUAAGAUGGGCAUGCGUCCAAUUAGUUAGUUGGCGAGGUAAUGGCUCACCAAGACUUUGAUUGGUAGGGGAACGGAGAGGUCAAUCCCCCACACUGGCACUGGGAUACGGGCCAGACUCCUACGGGAGGCAGCAGUAGGGAAUAUUGGGCAAUGGACGCAAGUCUGACCCAGCCAUGCCGCGUGCAGGAUGAAGGCGUUAUGCGUUGUAAACUGCUUUUAUACAGGGAGAAACGACUCUUGCGAGAGGCAUUGACGGUACUGUAUGAAUAAGCACCGGCUAACUCCGUGCCAGCAGCCGCCGUAA